GACGAACGCUGGCGGCGUGCUUAACACAUGCAAGUCGAACGGAAAGGCCCUGCUUGCAGGGUACUCGAGUGGCGAACGGGUGAGUAACACGUGGGUGAUCUGCCCUGCACUUCGGGAUAAGCCUGGGAAACUGGGUCUAAUACCGGAUAGGAGCCAUUUUUAGUGUGAUGGUUGGAAAGUUUUUUCGGUGUAGGAUGAGCUCGCGGCCUAUCAGCUUGUUGGUGGGGUAAUGGCCUACCAAGGCGGCGACGGGUAGCCGGCCUGGGAGGGUGGACGGCCACAUUGGGACUGAGAUACGGCCCAGACUCCUACGGGAGGCAGCGGUGGGGAAUAUUGCACAAUGGGCGCAAGCCUGAUGCAGCGACGCCGCGUGGGGGAUGACGGCCUUCGGGUUGUAAACUCCUUUCGCUAGGGACGAAGCUUUUUGUGACGGUACCUAGAUAAGAAGCACCGGCUAACUACGUG
rnacentral:rRNA from 1 species